UACGAAGGGGGCUAGCGUUGUUCGGAAUUACUGGGCGUAAAGCGCGCGCAGGCGGUCUUCCAAGUCAGUGGUGAAAGCCCGGAGCUCAACUCCGGAAUUGCCAUUGAAACUGUGAGACUGGAGUACGAGAGAGGUGAGUGGAAUUCCCAGUGUAGAGGUGAAAUUCGUAGAUAUUGGGAAGAACACCGGUGGCGAAGGCGGCUCACUGGCUCGUAACUGACGCUCGGCGCGGACAGCGUGGGGAUCGAAACAGG
rnacentral:rRNA from 1 species